rnacentral:piRNA from 1 species
UUACAGAAAUCUUAACUGUUUAAAGUGCAAC